GAUGAACGCUGGCGGCGUGCCUAAUACAUGCAAGUCGAGCGAACAGACGAGGAGCUUGCUCCUCUGACGUUAGCGGCGGACGGGUGAGUAACACGUGGAUAACCUACCUAUAAGACUGGGAUAACUUCGGGAAACCGGAGCUAAUACCGGAUAAUAUAUUGAACCGCAUGGUUCAAUAGUGAAAGACGGUUUUGCUGUCACUUCUAGAUGGAUCCGCGCCGCAUUAGCUAGUUGGUAAGGUAACGGCUUACCAAGGCAACGAUGCGUAGCCGACCUGAGAGGGUGAUCGGCCACACUGGAGCUGAGACACGGUCCAGACUCCUACGUGAGGCAGCAGUAGGGAAUCUACCGCGAUGGGCGGAAGCUUGACGGAGCAACGCCGCGUGAGUGAUGAAGGUCUUCGGAUCGUAAAACGCUGUUAUUAGGGAAGAACAAAUGUGUAAGUAACUAUGCACGUCUUGACGGUACCGAAUCAGAAAGCCACGGCUAACUACGU
rnacentral:rRNA from 1 species